rnacentral:sRNA from 1 species
AUUACACACUGCGCCAUGUCUGCUAGGUGUUCGCACCGGCAGGCGUAGCCCAGCCAACCCUUGUCUAUCUCUACCAUUCGUGAAUCCCUCGGCAGGGACGCCUGCCGCCGGGACCCCUAAAACCCUUUGUAUUUAAGCAUUAAAACAAUCUGAAUCUAAACAAAAUUAUUACAACUUUCAACAAUGGAUCUCUUGGUUCUGGCAUCGAUGAAGAACGCAGCGAAAUGCGAUAAGUAGUGUGAAUUGCAGACUUUAGUGAAUCAUCGAAUCUUUGAACGCACAUUGCGCCCCUUGGUAUUCCAUUGGGCAUGCCUGUUCGAGCGUCAUUUAACCCCUCAAGCACUGCUUGGUGUUGGGCGUUUGUCUGCGUAACUAACGCGGACUCGCCCCAAAAUAAUUGGCAGCGGCUUGCCGGCCUCUUGCGCAGCACUUUGCGCUCCUUGAGGAUCCGUCGGGCUUGCGUCCAUCAAGAUCACCCCCAUUUUGACCUCGAAUCAGGUAGGGAUACCCGCUGAACUUAAGCAUAUCAAUAA